rnacentral:tRNA from 1 species
GCGCUUUUAGCUCAGUUGGAUAGAGCAACGGCCUUCUAAGCCGUGGGUCACAGGUUCGAAUCCUGUAAAGCGCA